rnacentral:rRNA from 1 species
GACGAACGCUGGCGGCAUGCCUAACACAUGCAAGUCGAACGAGACCUUCGGGUCUAGUGGCGCACGGGUGCGUAACGCGUGGGAAUCUGCCCUUGGGUUCGGAAUAACAGUUGGAAACGACUGCUAAUACCGGAUGAUGACGUAAGUCCAAAGAUUUAUCGCCCAAGGAUGAGCCCGCGUAGGAUUAGCUAGUUGGUGAGGUAAAGGCUCACCAAGGCGACGAUCCUUAGCUGGUCUGAGAGGAUGAUCAGCCACACUGGGACUGAGACGCGGCCCAGACUCCUACGGGAGGCAGCAGUGGGGAAUAUUGGACAAUGGGCGAAAGCCUGAUCCAGCAAUGCCGCGUGAGUGAUGAAGGCCUUAGGGUUGUAAAGCUCUUUUACCCGGGAUGAUAAUGACAGUACCGGGAGAAUAAGCUCCGGCUAACUCCGUG